rnacentral:misc_RNA from 1 species
UGAGUGCAAAACUCCUUUUGAGAUUUGGUCUGAUUCACCUGCUGAUUACUCUCAGUUGAGAGUAUUUGGUUGCCCUGCUUAUGCUCAUGUGAGAGAUGGUUAGCUUAAGCCGAGGGCAAGAAAAUGCAUAUUUCUAAGGUAUGCAUCUGGAGUGAAAGACUACAAGUUGUGGUGCAAUGAUCCAAAGUCUCCAGGAUUAAUUAUUAGCAGGGAUGUGACAUUUAGUGAGUCUGCUUCAUUGAAUAGUCAGAGGGAGAAGUUAAUAGCAGAAUCAGAUCACGAUGUCAGAGAACAAGUAGAGCUUGAUAUUGAUACAUCAGCAGUUCAGUCCAGUGAUUCAAAGGAUGAGGUGCAAAAUCCUGAUCAAUAAGAGGAUGCACCUGAGCAACAGGAACCAUAUAGCAUUG